CAUCCGCGUGUGUGGCUGCGCGUAAGUGCAACCGUGUGAGCGUGUACUUGUGUCUCUGUGUGCUGGGCACGACCGUGCGCGCCGGUGCUCACCGGUCUGUGCACGGGCACAUGCACACACCGCCUUCUGGAGGAGCUUUGGGGUGAGGGAUGCCUGUGCUUCUGGGUACCUGGGUUUCUUUGCAUAUGGGGACACAUCCCCUAGGCAGAGCCAGGGGCAUGUCACGAGUGACAGACGCAUAUCUAAGUUAGCAGGCAAGAUUAGAAGCACAAGGGCGUCCUGGAGGAGUCUGAAGUGCGCUUCUAACUGGAUUCACAUGUUUUUCCACGCGCCGCUGAACAGCAUGUACCUUUGUGUCAGCAUGAGCUGAGAAAGGAAAUGCAGCCUCUGGAGCUGGAGUGGGACUAUGUGGAAUUCUGGAACAUUUCUCACUGCUCAGCCACAGCCUGUUGGAGCUGGGAAGCGCGCUGGAUGUUUUCCAGUCCAGCCCUUUGUCUAACAAAUGAGGAAACUCAGGCCCCCCAAAAGAGGCUGGCUAAGCUUGCUAUGCAUCUAGCAUGUGCUCUGUACUUUCCCUACUUCAUCCUCUCAAUCGUUUGAGGCAGGCGAUAGUAAUUCCCUUUCACAGAUAAGAAAAGCGAGGCCUGUCAUACGGGAAGAAAAGGUAUCAGCAGGGAUUUCCGCCCACUCUGCCCAACUUGACCAUUUCCCGUCGUCCUUCUAUGUGGGCCUCUUCCUAGUAUGCCCCUGGGAGACCAGGGGUCCUUGAGAACACUUCGGGGAGUGUCUGAGGGCCCACAGUUGGGCUGGAAGAUAGAGCAACAAAAAGCACCCAUGUCACCGAUGAGAACAUUUAUGUGUGCCAAAUGGCGGGUGGAAGGUGCCACAGAGAGGCUGAGGAUUUCAGAGGGCACCCUGAACUGGAAUGAGGUCACAGAGCAGGAACCCAAGACCUCCACCUGGUUGGUGUGAGCCCUCCAGGAAGCAGGCACCCUUCCCCAGCCCUCAAGCAAGCAAAAAUCCGGGUUUAAGCAAGAAGGAGGAGAAGCAGCAGCAGCAGCAGCCACAAAGCCUAUGACAGCUACAGCCCAAGGAGACUGAAGCAGGGGAGACUGAAGGCCUGAAGAGCAGAGGCUUCUUUCAAAGAAAAAGACCCCUCUCCCAGCACCCAGCGAUGACGGCAAGCCCCACCCACGGUGCUUGCUAAGAACAAGUUCCACAUGAGGAUAACACGCCUCCCCCCCCCCGCGAGAUGUCCAUAGGGACCCCGAGAUGCCUGCAGUGCUUGGCUCUCCCGCUGGCCAGCUGCCCACCUGGCUGGGGCCCAGUACUCGUGAGUCAGCCGAUCAAUCCCA